rnacentral:rRNA from 1 species
UUGACCUCGGAUCAGGUAGGGAUACCCGCUGAACUUAAGCAUAUCAAUAAGCGGAAGAAAAGAAACCAACAGGGAUUGCCUCAGUAACGGCGAGUGAAGCGGCAAGAGCUCAAAUUUGAAAUCUGGCCCCCUUGGGGGGUCCGAGUUGUAAUUUGGAGAGGAUGCUUCGGGCACGGCCCCCGUCUAAGUGCCCUGGAACGGGCCGUCAUAGAGGGUGAGAAUCCCGUCUGGGACGGGUGGCCGGGCCCGUGUGAAGCUCCUUCGACGAGUCGAGUUGUUUGGGAAUGCAGCUCUAAAUGGGUGGUAAAUUUCAUCUAAAGCUAAAUAUGGGCCGGAGACCGAUAGCGCACAAGUAGAGUGAUCGAAAGAUGAAAAGCACUUUGGAAAGAGAGUUAAACAGCACGUGAAAUUGUUGAAAGGGAAGCGCUUGCGACCAGACUCGCCCGGGGGGGCUCAGCCGGCACUCGUGCCGGUGCACUCCCCCCCGGGCGGGCCAGCGUCGGUUUGGGCGGCCGGUCAAAGGCCCCCGGAAUGUGUCGCCCUCCGGGGCGUCUUAUAGCCGGGGGUGCAAUGCGGCCAGCCCAGACCGAGGAACGCGCUUCGGCUCGGACGCUGGCGUAAUGGUCGUAAGCGGCC